rnacentral:lncRNA from 1 species
UUCUUUCAGGAGCUUUUGAACAUUAAAAAUGCAUUCAGUGACCCUGGCUAAUUGGGGGUGACUUCGAUGUCACCAAAUCUCCUGAUGAGCUUGAAGGUCAGCCCCAGUCGACAAGAGACCGCCUUUCCUUGGAUUUUAUUACUUCUCUUGAUCUAAUUGAUCGGAGCUCAAGUGGAGGGACUUCACCUGGACCAAUGGUCGUCAUCAACCCUCUAUGGCCAGACUGGAUCAAUAAUUCCUUCUCUCCCAGGAAUCGGAAGUUCUCUUCCCUACUUCCUUUCAAAAUGCCUUGGCU